rnacentral:rRNA from 1 species
CCUACGGGUGGCUGCAGUGGGGAAUAUUGCACAAUGGGGGAAACCCUGAUGCAGCGACGCCGCGUGAGCGAUGAAGUAUCUCGGUAUGUAAAGCUCUAUCAGCAGGGAAGUAAAUGACGGUACCUGACUAAGAAGCCACGGCUAACUACGUGCCAGCAGCCGCGGUAAUACGUAGGGGGCAAGCGUUAUCCGGAUUUACUGGGUGUAAAGGGAGCGUAGACGGUCCUGCAAGUCAGUUGUGAAAGCCCGGGGCUCAACCCCGGGACUGCAUUUGAAACUGUAAGGCUUGAGUGUCGGAGAGGCAGGCGGAAUUCGUGGUGUAGCGGUGAAAUGCGUAGAUAUUAGGAGGAACACCGGUUGCGAAGGCGGCCUGCUGGACGAUGACUGACGUUGAGGCUCGAAAGCGUGGGGAGCAAACAGGAUUAGAUACCCGAGUAGUC